CUGAACGCAGCACGGCGCCGCGCUCUUCCCAGUGCUGGCUCCCCUCUGUCCUCCAUUAAAGCUCGGCUCCAUCCCCGCUGUACGGCGCAGGCCCGAAGUAGCGCAGCCGCUCUGAGUAUUUCAACUGUGGAUCUAGCUGCAUUGACCAGGUGGCUCAUAAUGGAGGAGCACGCCGUACACCAAACCGAGCACAUGACCACCAUUGAAGCCAGCGCUGUCAGCCAACAGGUACACGUUGACACGUUUAAUGAAUCUUCCAUGAUGAGCGCCGAUGAAGACUCCACGUCGUCACCAGACGACGACCCGUACGACGACACGGAUAUCCUCAACUCAGCUGGCACUGAUGAGGUCACGGCUCACCUGGCUGCUGCAGGACCAGUAGGCAUGGCGGCUGCAGCCGCCGUGGCGACGGGCAAGAAAAGAAAAAGGCCCCACAUCUUCGAGUCCAACCCUUCCAUCCGCAAGAGGCAGCAGACACGUCUGCUCAGGAAGCUACGAGCCACGUUAGACGAGUACACCACCAGAGUGGGCCAGCAGGCCAUCGUGCUGUGCAUCUCGCCGUCCAAACCCAACCCCGUGUUCAAAGUGUUCGGUGCCGCUCCUCUGGAGAACGUGGUGAGAAAAUAUAAGAACAUGAUCCUGGAGGACCUGGAGAACGCGCUGGCUGAGCACGCCCCCGCCGGAGGAGAGCUGGCCUCAGAGCUGCCCCCUCUCACUAUCGACGGCAUCCCCGUGUCCGUGGAUAAAAUGACUCAGGCGCAGCUCCGAGCGUUCAUCCCGGAGAUGCUGAAGUACUCCACGGGCCGAGGGAAGCCCGGCUGGGGCAAAGAGAGCUGCAAGCCGGUGUGGUGGCCCGACGACAUCCCCUGGGCCAACGUGCGCAGCGACGUCCGCACAGAGGAGCAGAAACAGAGAGUGUCGUGGACGCAGGCGCUGCGGACCAUCGUGAAGAACUGCUACAAGCAGCACGGCCGCGAGGACCUGCUGUACGCCUUCGAAGACCACCAGGUCACCACGGCGACCACCACCCAGCACCACCUGACGGCCGCGCAGAGCAUAGCUCACCUCGUGCCCUCUCAGACGGUGGUGCAGACCAUCAACAACCCCGACGGGACCGUCUCGCUCAUCCAGGUCGGCACGGGACACACAGUGGCCACCCUGGCAGACGCCUCGGAGCUGCCCGGCGUGACGGUGGCCCAGGUCAACUACUCAACUGUGACUGACGGAGAGGUGGAACAAAACUGGGCCACCCUCCAGGGCGGAGAGAUGACAAUCCAAACCACUCAAGCAUCGGAGGCCACGCAGGCGGUGGCGUCCCUGGCGGAAGCCGCCGUCGCUGCCAGUCAGGAAAUCCAGCCCGGCGCCACGGUCACGAUGGCGCUCAACAGUGAAGCGGCGGCUCACGCCGUGGCGACGUUGGCAGAGGCGACCCUUCAAGGAGGGGGGCAGAUCGUCCUGGCGGAGACGGCGGCCGCUGUGGGGGCGCUGGCCGGGGUUCAGGACGCCACAGGUCUGGUCCAGAUCCCGGUCAGCAUGUACCAGACGGUGGUCACCAGCCUGGCCCAGGGGAACCGGCCCGUCCAGGUGGCCAUGGCGCCGGUGGCCACGCGCAUCGACAACACGGUGACGCUGGACGGCCAGGCGGUGGAGGUGGUCACCCUGGAGCAGUGACGCCGGCCGCCCCGCCAGGAGUAGAAGCCACUGAGCGGCCGCCUCCCCGUCCGCCAGCCAAUCACGCCGCGUACAAUGUCAGAAUAUAUUUUAAAAAGGAGUCCGCUAUCAAUGCAUCCUGUUUACUAUAGACGAACCAAAAAGCCCGGGAGGAAACGCCGCCGCUGCAAACCGCUCGCCCGCGUUACCGACGGUUACUGGGGAUGAUCGUCGAUGUCGUGCGUUUGUCAGACAUCUUGAACGUCGGUGCCAUACCCAGAAGUCACUCCUCCGAUCACAGCUCUGAUUUUCACCCUCCCCACUUCGAUCGCUCUCUGUACAGACACUCCCUCCUGCUCCCGCGUCAGACGAACACGUUAUGUUGGAAUGUCGUCUUGUUGUGUGUUAUUCCCCCCACCACAGACACACACACACACACACACACACACUUUCCCCCAACUGCAGUCCACGCACACGCCAAAAUCUGCGAAGACUCAGGACACACAUGAAAUGGUUUGGGGUUUUUUUUUUAAAUCUCUGGAUUGAUGAACUGUUUCGCCCGGAUCCAUGCAUUUACUGUUAUUUUUUAAGAUGACCGUCUUUGUACGUCUGCAAUCGCUCUGUACGACACGGGAGGCGGGCCGCGCUCCGACAGGAACUCACACACAGACGAGACCUCCGAAACAAAACAAUGAAAAAAAAAAAAAAAAAAAAAAACGAGUGCUUUACCAUGAAUCUGUAACACUUGGUUUAACUCAC